rnacentral:rRNA from 1 species
UACGGAGGGUGCGAGCGUUGUCCGGAAUCACUGGGCGUAAAGGGCGCGUAGGCGGCCUGAUAAGUAGGGGGUGAAAUCCCCAGGCUUAACCUGGGAACUGCAUUCGAGACUGCAUUGCUAGAGUAUGGGAGAGGGAAGUGGAAUUUCCGGUGUAGCGGUGAAAUGCGUAGAUAUCGGAAGGAACAUCAGUGGCGAAAGCGACUUCCUGGACCAAUACUGACGCUCAUGUGCGAAAGCGUGGGGAGCAAACAGG